CAUAACAAAACCAUUGGAAAUCUACAGAGCAGAGACAUGUCCACACACCGUUCUCUCUCUCUCUCUCUCUCUCUCUCUCUCUCUGUCUUCCAACCGUAAGAGGCUGAGAGCCACGGACUUCUCACCGGAAAUCUACCAUCUCUCGCUCUCUCCAUUACUGGACCAUGGCUCCAAUCGUAAACCAUGAGGGAUCUUCAAAGAAAGUGAAAGAAAUUCUCGACAAGGGAGAUAGGAUCAGCAGCUUGCCAGAUUCCCUUCUUGUUCACAUUCUCUCUUUCCUUCCUACAAAAUACGCAGUUGGAACCAGCAUACUAUCAUCAAGAUGGAAGCACCUCUGGGCUUCUGUUCCAACUCUAGACUUUGAUGCCAAUAUGAGAUUUAGACCUUCUUUUAUGAGUUCUUCCAACUUCAUGAACUUUAUUGAUCGAGUUCUUUUCAAUCAUGAAUUGUCCUGUAUUCAGAAGUUUCGUUUGAACUGUGAAGCAGAAAUUGAUAUAUCUAGAAUAUAUACAUGGAUAGGUGUAGCCAUAAAGCUUGGUGUUCAAGAACUGGAUAUAAACGUUAGACCACCUGAAUUUGAUAUAAAGAUUAGAGCACCUGAACCAGAGCAAAAUGUUGACUUGCCUUUAAGCCUCUUCACUUGCCCAAUAUUGAUGGUCUUGAAACUGGGAAAUAAAGUUAGAUUCGAUGUUCCUUACUCAGCCCAUUUCAGAAGUCUUAAGAUCCUCCACAUUUCAUUUGAUUAUCAUGUCAAUGGCACGGUGCAAAGUCUCUUUCAUAACUGCCCUGUUCUUGAAGAUAUGUUCAUGGAAGGAAUUGUUUCGAUUUAUGAAGAAAUAAAAUUUGAUGUCUACAAACCCACUCUGAAGAGUUGAAAAUUAAGUUUUGCUUCACAUUAUGAUCAUGUUUGGGAAUGCGAUGGGAAUGAAAUUAUGGUCAAUGCACCAAUUCUUGAGUAUCUCACUCUCCAAGAUGAUUACUUGCCUUGCUAUGUGCUAAACAACCUAACCUCGCUGGUUAAAGCAUAUAUUAACGUUGGAGGCUACUCUAUUCAAUUUGCCGCGACCAAACAACGUACCGAUCGUGUACUUGUUAUUCUCAGGGAAAUACGUAGUGUAAAAUAUCUAUCUCUAGGAUCUCGUACCAUGGGGGCUCUCGACUAUGCCGGUGAUAAUAGUCUGCCGUUGUUCCCAAAUUUGAUUCGUUUGGAGCUGCAUGUUCACAAAUGCUAUGGCUGGAUUCGUCUACUAGACUUGCUCAAUAGCAUGCCUAACCUGCU